CAAAGACAUAUUGGUGUGGCAUAGUAGGUUGUCUGCCUCUCGUCAACGUCAAAGUGUAAACAAAUAUAAUUCCACAUGCAAUUAAAUUCACGGAAAUCGUCGAUGCCAAAUCCGAUUUUAAUUAAAAUCGUUUUCGUCGUGUCUAUGUGGCAUGUCAUUGGCAGGAAGGAAGCAAGCUGGGCAGCCAGCAUUUUAUACAUGGUCCCUAAUUGAUUAACAACGAAUGUGGACCCAGCGUAAAUAUCACCAAAAGAAAGUCAACAAGUUUUAGACAAUCGGACAAUUAACCAUAAUUAUGGGCGAUCUAAGAAUUUUUCUGAACAUAUAUUUGAAUGUUCCAUAUCAGGCAAUUUUUUGUUGAUUACUGGGUAUGUUUUUGUCUGUCUUGCUAUAUAACAGCGAAAUUUGCAUCAGUGGCUGCAUCAAAAGCUACGUGUAAGCCAUUGAUAUUCAUAUAUGAGCAUGAACAGUUGGCAGCUGAAUAGCGUUAAGUAAACAUAUACAACUGUCACACACACACACAACGUUGAUUGCUCAAAACCAAAGGCAGCCAAGCGUGAGACCAACAACUAGCAACAAGCCAGGACAUAAAGGCGCAAGGAUGAGCCAACUGGAGGAGGCCACGAGAGUGGCAACAUUUUGUGGCAGGCGACGCAUGCCCAUCGUGUCAGUUCUAUAAGGUAUAAUACACAUGUACGCAGAUGCAUUUUCCAAGUGAAUUCAUAUUUUAUUUGUAAUUUUAAAACUGAGUUCAAUGCCAAUUAUAUAAAUUAUUUAAAUGUAAGAAAUGUAAAUUAAAUUAUUUCUUAAAGUAUGAUUAUGGAAAAAA